GGGGAAUUAGCUCAAGUGGUAGAGCACCUGCUUAGCAUGUGAGAGGUAGCGGGAUUGACGCCUGCAUUCUCCA
rnacentral:tRNA from 1 species